CCUACGGGUGGCAGCAGUCGAGAAUCAUUCACAAUGGGGGAAACCCUGAUGGUGCGAAGCCGCGUGGGGGAAUGAAGGUCUACGGAUUGUAAACCCCUGUCAUGUGGGAGCAAAUUAAAAAGAUAGUACCACAAGAGGAGGAGCCGGCUAACUCCGUUCCAGCAGCCGCGGUAAUACAGCGGUCUCAAGCGUUGGUCGGAAUACAUGGGCUUAAAGGGUGCGUAGGAUGUUAUGUACGUCGUGGGGUAAAGGCGCGGGCUGAAACCGCGGACGGCACUGGAUUCUGUGUGUCUAGAGUGAUGGAGGGGGAACCGGAAUGCGCGGUGUAGCGGUGAAAUGCGUAGAUAUCGAGCGGAACUCUGGUGGCGAAGGCGGGUUCCUGGACAUUAACUGACGCUGAGGCACGAAGGCCAGGGGAGCGAAAGGGAUUAGAUACCCGGGUAGUC
rnacentral:rRNA from 1 species